UAUCGCGAUAGGUCUGUAAUUCGAGGG
rnacentral:piRNA from 1 species